rnacentral:rRNA from 1 species
GCCACUGCUAUUGGGGUUCGGCUAAGCCAUGCGAGUGGAGGGCGUCCCGCAAGGGAUGGCCCCGCAGACGGCUCAGUAACACGUCGUCAACCCACCUUAGGGUGGGGGACAACCCCGGGAAACUGAGGAUAAUCCCCCAUAGGCGGGGGAGGCUGGAAUGCGCCCCCGCUGAAAGCUCAGGCGCCCUAGGACGGGACGGCGGCCUAAUCAGGUAGUUGGUGGUGUGACG